rnacentral:lncRNA from 1 species
UAAGUACAUAAAUAAAUAAACAAAUAAAUAAACAAAUUUAAAUGACAAAAAUAGUUCACAAAUAAAAACAAUUUAACUUUAAUCUUUUUUUUUUUUUUUACACAGGAGCAUGUAACAGAAUUUCUAAAAAAUAAAAAUGAGGAAAAUGUUCUUCGUAUGGCAAAAGAGCUUUUAUUAAAAUAUAAAUUUAUGGAACAUACAUUUGUAACUAGACAAAUGAAUACGGAAAAAAAAAUACCUGAAUUAAAGGCUGCUUUAAAAGUUGUAAACACGCUCAGCAAAAGAAAGGAAAUGGAUGAAGGUAAAAGCUUGGAACAGUAUUUCCCUUUAGAAGAAUCUUUAUAUGCUAAAGGAGUAAUUGAAAAUACAGGCAAAAUUUUACUUUGGCUAGGGGUAUUAUAAAUAUAAAAGAAAAAAAGAAAAAAGAAAGACGUGUUAUAAUAUUUAUAGGGUUAUAUACUUAUAUUUCGAAAUGCACAGUUAGCAUAUAUUAUAUAUAUAUAUAUAUAUAUAUAUAUAUAUAUAUAUAUAUACGCAUGUUUGUGUUAUAAGUUUUUUUUAUUAUUCAUUUUUGUUUUACUUAUUUUUGAUAUUUUAUUUAUUAGGCUAAUGUAAUGGUUGAAUUCUCAUUUAAUGAAGCUAUCAAUCUUUUGAAUCAACAUUUGGAUAGAGCUAUAAAUUUACAUGAGGAAAUGGUAAUUUUUUUUUAACAUAUUUAUUAUGAAUUGAUAAAAAAAAACAAAAAAAACAAAAAUUAUAUUACAUAUAACA